rnacentral:rRNA from 1 species
AUGUCGUCGCCACAGGCGAUCCAGAGCCCCAAGGCCGCCGUCGACUCGCUCGUCGCCAUCCUGGGCCGCGCGCUCCCGGACUCCCUCGCCGCGGCCGGCGACCCCGCGGCCGCGCUCCUCCACGACGACGGCGUCGCCCGCGCCGUCACGGGACGCCUCCGCGGCGCCGGCUCGGGCGCCGGCCAGGACGCCCUCUGCGGCUGGCUCUACGGCGCCUUCCAGUCCGGCCUCCCGGCGCUGCAGCUCGCAGUGCUGCGCUUCGUGCCGACGCUCGCGGGCGUGUACAUGUCCCGCGCCGUCUCCCGGAAGCCGCUCGCCGGGUUCGAGGCCGUGCUGCUCACGCUGUACGCGCACGCCGUGGCGCAGCGGGGGUCCGGGGAGGCCGAGACAGUGACGCUUCCCAACAUGAACAAGCCCAGCGUGUACCACGAGGCGAUCAAGCCUACGUCCGCGGCGCCGGCGGCCAAGCCGGGCAAGGCCGACGACCCCGACGUCGCCGAGCUCUCCCCCGCGCUGGAGCCGCACGGCACAAUGCGCGCCACGCGCCGCGGCCGCAUCGUCGGCGCGGUGCUGGAGCUCUACCACUCCAAGAUCGGGCUCAUGCCGCUCUCCUCCAAGAUGGACUUCUGCGAGUUCUGCGUCGCGUGGACGGGGAAGCACCGCAGCGACGACAAGGCCCGGAUCGCGUCCGCCGAGAGCGGCGAGGAGAAGUGGCGGAGGGUGCCUAUGCCGUGGGAGCUGUUCCAGCCGGCGCUCCGGAUCGUGGGGCAUUGCCUGCUGGGCCCGACCAACUCCGACCAGCUGAGGACGCAGGCCGCCCGGGCGUCGCAGUGCCUCUACCUGAGGGCCAUGGAGAUCAUGGACGCGCGCGCCGUGCUGGCCUGCAGGAGCCUCGUCAGGCUGUCGCAGAUGGUGGAGGAGCCGAUCCCGGAGCCGUCCUUCGCCGGCGUCGAGGCCAACAUGGCAGAGCUGGAGACCAUGAGGGCCAACAUCCUUAGCGGCAAGAAGUAA